AACCUUUUCUCCCUGGUGGAGGAACCACUUGCAUGAGAAUAAGAGGUUGUUCCCCAGGCCAUCAGACUCCAAACAGUUAUGCAACUGGAGCCUCCUGAGGAUGACCCCUUCUGCCUGGGACCCUUAGAUCAGCCUCUAGAGAAGCUUUGACUGCUGUUUCCCCAAAACAGCACCCCCUGCCAUCAGGAAGCAAAAGCCAUGUUGGUUCACCACAUGUAUCGCAUCCUGAUAAUGUGAAGUGAAAAAGUAGAGCCUGGAAGCCUUUGUAAGAUGACUGUGCCAGAGGAGGAAGAUAAAUAUCUCGAUGCUAUGGAGGCCUGUCAGCUCUUUGAAGUAUCUGGGCAAUAUCAAGAUUUCUACUUCAGAUGAAAAAACAAAUAGUUAUUCAUUGACCCUGUUGCCGCCAAGAAAGAGGUGAAAGGUGAACCCCCAACCCACGGAAAGAUCCAGCCAAGUAAGGAACUGCAAAAUAUUGAAUGACUAAUUCUCCAAACAAGGAGAACAAGAAGAUUUAUACUAGCCAUGCAAGGAAUCUUUGGAAGUCUAACAGACCUGACUUGAAGAGAAGGCUUUAAAC
rnacentral:lncRNA from 10 species